rnacentral:rRNA from 1 species
UAGGGAAUCUUCGGCAAUGGACGAAAGUCUGACCGAGCAACGCCGCGUGAGUGAAGCAGGUUUUCGGAUCGUAAAACUCUGUUGUUAGAGAAGAACAAGGACGUUAGUAACUGAACGUCCCCUGACGGUAUCUAACCAGAAAGCCACGGCUAACUCCGUGCCAGCAGCCGCGGUAAUACGUAGGUGGCAAGCGUUGUCCGGAUUUAUUGGGCGUAAAGCGAGCGCAGGCGGUUUCUUAAGUCUGAUGUGAAAGCCCCCGGCUCAACCGGGGAGGGUCAUUGGAAACUGGGAGACUUGAGUGCAGAAGAGGAGAGUGGAAUUCCAUGUGUAGCGGUGAAAUGCGUAGAUAUAUGGAGGAACACCAGUGUCGAAGGCGGCUCUCUGGUCUGUAACUGACGCUGAGGCUCGAAAGCGUGGGGAGCAAACAGG